rnacentral:rRNA from 1 species
CUCAGUUCGGAUUGGAGUCUGCAACCCGACUCCAUGAAGCUGGAUUCGCUAGUAAUCGCGCAUCAGCCACGGCGCGGUGAAUACGUUCCCGGGCCUUGUACACACCGCCCGUCAAGCCAUGGAAGCCGGGGGUGCCUGAAGUGCGCUGCCGCAAGGAGCGCCCUAGGGUAAAACCGGUGACUGGGGCUAAGUCGUAACAAGGUAGC